UACGAAGGGGGCUAGCGUUGUUCGGAAUACUGGGCGUAAAGGGCGCGUAGGCGGUGUGUCAAGUCAGGCGUGAAAGCCCCGGGCUCAACCUGGGAACAGCGCUUGAGACUGGCACGCUCGAGUUCGGGAGAGGAUGGUGGAAUUCCCAGUGUAGAGGUGAAAUUCGUAGAUAUUGGGAAGAACACCGAUGGCGAAGGCAGCCAUCUGGACCGACACUGACGCUGAGGCGCGGAAAGCGUGGGGAGCAAACAGG
rnacentral:rRNA from 1 species